AGCGCAGGCGGUUUUGUUAAGUCAGAUGUGAAAUCCCCGGGCCGUUAACCUGGGAAUGGCAUUUGAGACUGCAAGGCUAGAGUGUGUCAGAGGGGGGUAGGAAUUCCACGUGUAGCAGUGAAAUGCGUAGAGAUGUGGAGGAACACCGAUGGCGAAGGCAGCCCCCUGGGAUAACACUGACGCUCAUGCACGAAAGCGUGGGGAGCAAACAGGAUUAGAUACCCUGGUAGUCCACGCCCUAAACGAUGUCGACUAGUUGUCGGGUCUUAAUUGACUUGGUAACGCAGCUAACGCGUGAAGUCGACCGCCUGGGGAGUACGGUCGCAAGAUUAAA
rnacentral:rRNA from 1 species